UACGGAGGGCGCGAGCGUUAAUCGGAAUUACCGGGCGUAAAGCGCGCGUAGGCUGUUGUGUAAGUUGGGGGUGAAAUCCCACGGCUCAACCGUGGAACAGCCCUUGAUACUGCGCGACUUGAAUCCGGGAGAGGGUGGCGGAAUUCCAGGUGUAGGAGUGAAAUCCGUAGAUAUCUGGAGGAACAUCAGUGGCGAAGGCGGCCACCUGGACCGGUAUUGACGCUGAGGCGCGAAAGCGUGGGGAGCAAACAGG
rnacentral:rRNA from 1 species